rnacentral:tRNA from 1 species
GGACAGGUGGCCGAGAGGCUGAAGGCGCGCGCCUGGAAAGUGCGUAGACGGUGACGAGCCGUCUCGAGGGUUCGAAUCCCUCCCUGUCCGCCA